rnacentral:rRNA from 1 species
UAGGGAAUCUUGCACAAUGGGCGAAAGCCUGAUGCAGCAACGCCGCGUGAAGGAUGAAGGCCUUCGGGUUGUAGACUUCUGUUCUAAGGGAAGAAACAAAUGACGGUACCUUAGGAGCAAGCCCCGGCUAACUACGUGCCAGCAGCCGCGGUAAUACGUAGGGGGCAAGCGUUAUCCGGAAUUAUUGGGCGUAAAGAGUGCGUAGGUGGUUACCUAAGCGCAAGGUUUAAUUUAGAGGCUCAACCUCUACUUGCCUUGCGAACUGGGCUACUUGAGUGCAGGAGGGGAAAGCGGAAUUCCUAGUGUAGCGGUGAAAUGCGUAGAUAUUAGGAGGAACACCAGCGGCGAAGGCGGCUUUCUGGACUGUAACUGACACUGAGGCACGAAAGCGUGGGUAGCAAACAGGAUUAGAUACCCUGGUAGUCCACGCCGUAACGAUGAGCACUAGGUGUUGGGCCCGUUAGGGCUCAGUGCCGAAGUUAACGCAAUAAGUGCUCCGCCUGGGGAGUACGCUCGCAAGAGUA